ACGUGCAUCAUGCCGAGUGAGGCUCAAUGGCCUGUUGCUCAUCUCCUACAGUUUUGAGUGUCCAAGGAAGGCAGAAUUCUCCGACAGGGACUGAUCAUAAAAGAAACCAAACACAAUAUCAUUGUCAAACGCAUUGUCCAGGAGGAGAGAGGAACUUCUCUGACUUCUGCAGGGUUCAUCAGACCUACAGCGUUGCCACACAGACCCUCCUGACGUCUUUCCCCCAACCCCCAUCUGUCCCGCGGAACAACUCAACCGCAGGUUCGCCAACGUUGACAGGUAGUCAGAGCGAGAAAAGGUUAAAAACCUGACUUGAUGAAAUUGAAUCAGCAUGAGGGGUGGGCUGGUGCUUGACCUGCUGCAGAUGGAC
ensembl:lncRNA